AACGCUGGCGGCGUGCUUAACACAUGCAAGUCGAACGCGAAAGGGACUUCGGGUCCUGAGUAAAGUGGCGCACGGGUGAGUAACGCGUAGAUAACCUGUCUUCAUGUCUGGAAUAAUACGCCGAAAGGGGUACUAAUACCGGAUAUCUUGCUUUUCAUAAGUUAUGCAAGCAAAGGUGGCCUCUGCAUAUGCUACUGCAUGAAGAGGGGUCUGCGUACCAUUAGCUAGUAGGUGGGGUAAUGGCCUACCUAGGCGACGAUGGUUAGCGGGUCUGAGAGGAUGAUCCGCCACACUGGCACUGGAACACGGGCCAGACUCCUACGGGAGGCAGCAGUGAGGAAUAUUGCGCAAUGGGGGAAACCCUGACGCAGCGACGCCGCGUGAGUGAGGAAAAGGCCUUCGGGUCGUAAAGCUCUGUCAAGAGGAAAGAAGUGUACAAUGGCUAAUACCUGUUGCAUUUGACGGUACCUCUAAAGGAAGCACCGGCUAACUCCGUGCCAGCAGCGGC
rnacentral:rRNA from 1 species